rnacentral:rRNA from 1 species
AUGGGCUGCGCCGGAUCCACCCCUAAAUCUGACGAUAGCAGUAAGAAGCUGAAAAAACCAAAGCCUUGGAAGCACACUCAGUCAAUAACACCAGCACAACUCAAACAGAUGCGCGAAGAAUUCUGGGACACUACUCCUCACUAUGGUGGACAGAAAGAGAUCUGGGAUGCACUUCGGGCCGCUGCAGAAGCUGAUUUAGCACUUGCGCAAACCAUAGUAGACAGUGCUGGCAUCAUUGUCUCAAAUUCUGACAUGACACUCUGCUACGACGAAAGAGGUAAAAUUAUUAUUUUUCCUUGUAUCGCAUGCAUCUUCUCCACCGCCCUGUGCUUUCAGAACCAAAAUCAGUGGCUGGGAAACUCUGCUGCAGGUGCCAAAUACGAACUACCAAAGUACGUUCUGAGCGAGCCGACUAAUUUGAUCCGGGAGAAAUGA